rnacentral:rRNA from 1 species
GGGUUGUGAGGUUAAGCGACUAAGCGUACACGGUGGAUGCCCUGGCAGUCAGAGGCGAUGAAGGGCGUGCUAAUCUGCGAUAAGCGCCGGUAAGGUGAUAUGAACCGUUAUAACCGGCGAUACCCGAAUGGGGAAACCCAGUGUGAUUCGUCACACUAUCAUUAACUGAAUCCAUAGGUUAAUGAGGCGAACCGGGGGAACUGAAACAUCUAAGUACCCCGAGGAAAAGAAAUCAACCGAGAUUCCCCCAGUAGCGGCGAGCGAACGGGGAGGAGCCCAGAGCCUGAAUCAGCAUGUGUGUUAGUGGAAGCGUCUGGAAAGGCGCGCGAUACAGGGUGACAGCCCCGUACACAAAAGCGCAUGUGCUGUGAGCUCGAUGAGUAGGGCGGGACACGUGGUAUCCUGUCUGAAUAUGGGGGGACCAUCCUCCAAGGCUAAAUACUCCUGACUGACCGAUAGUGAACCAGUACCGUGAGGGAAAGGCGAAAAGAACCCCGGCGAGGGGAGUGAAAAAGAACCUGAAACCGUGUACGUACAAGCAGUGGGAGCACCGGUUUACCUGUGUGAAUGCGUACCUUUUGUAUAAUGGGUGAGCGACUUAUAUUCUGUAGCAAGGU